AACAAGUGCACCGCAGUCUCCGUCCUGUGCUGUGCCUGAGAAGGUUUCCCUGCCUGUCCUCCUGUGGGUCAGACCAGCCAAAAGUGCCAUCAUGUUCCGGGUGUUGCUCCGCUCCUCUGCGGACACGUUAUUGACGCAGGUCUGCCUGAAGAGCCCGGAGCCUCCACUCCUCCUGCAGCCCCAGCAGAGAGAGCGCCACACAGCCUCGGCGGCGUCAGCUUGGCUGGAACCGCAGCGCCUGCAUAUGAGAUCCCUCCGCCGACGCCGACGCCGCUCCCCCCCUCUCCUCAUCCCCGGAACUUUCCCAGGAUUUUAAGGAUUUCACGGUGAGGUUUGAUGGUCCAAUCACAGGCUGUCUCUAGGAUACCAGGACCUGUCUGAUUGGCUAGUCGCUCUUCUGUGAUGAUUCCAGUUUCCAGGCUCCGGUGAAGUAGCGCAUGCGAAUGAAAAUCAGAUCUCGGCCCAUCUGCAGCCAGCUCCAAAAUGGAACGAGCUUGGAUCCUGGCAGAGCAGAUGAAUAGAACGGCUGUCAGCGGCAUCAAAACCCUUACCAUCGCUCUACAUGGAGAGAAGAGAAGGUCUUGAUCGCAGCCUCGCGUGUGAAAAG